CACGGGGAGGUAGUGACGAAAAAUAACAAUACAAGACUCACAUCCGAGGCCUUGUAAUUGGAAUGAGUACACUUUAAAUCCUUUAACAAGGAUCAAUUAGAGGGCAAGUCUGGUGCCAGCAGCCGCGGUAAUUCCAGCUCUAAUAGCGUAUAUUAAAGUUGUUGCGGUUAAAACGUUCGUAGUUGAACUUGUGUUCCGCACGGGCACUACCUAGUUCCUAGGUAACUAGGACGGUAGUUGUCUUAUCUUUUCAUUUUCUUUAUCGGAUUAUGGAAAAAGUGCGUGAACGUAUUAUCGGCGUGUUCUAUUUUCAUAUUUAACUAUAUCGAAAAUGUUCACAUAAGCCCAUUUCAGUGCUCUUUACCGAGUGUUGCUGUGGGCCGAUACAAAUUACUUUGAACAAAUUAGAGUGCUUAAAGCAGGCUUGUAAUGCCUGAAUAUUUUGUGCAUGGAAUAAUGUAAUAGGACAUCUGUUCUACUUUCAUUGGUUUUUUAGACCAAGAUGUAAUGAUUAAUGGAAGCAGUUGGGGGCAUUAGUAUUACAACGCGAGAGGUGAAAUUCUUAGACCGUUGUAAGACUGACUAAAGCGAAAGCAUUUGCCAAAGAUGUUUUCAUUUAAUCAAGAACGAAAGUUAGAGGUUCGAAGGCGAUCAGAUACCGCCCUAGUUCUAACCAUAAACGAUGCCAGCUAGCAAUUGGAUGUAGCUACUUCUAUGGCUCUUUCAGUCGCUUCCCGGGAAACCAAAGCUUUUGGGCUCCGGGGGAAGUAUGGUUGCAAAGCUGAAACUUAAAGGAAUUGACGGAAGGGCACCACCAGGAGUGGAGCCUGCGGCUUAAUUUGACUCAACACGGGAAAACUUACCAGGUCCGAACAUAAAUGAGUAAGACAGAUUGAUAGCUCUUUCUCGAAUCUAUGGGUGGUGG
rnacentral:rRNA from 1 species